AACUGAGGCAUCUUGAAGAUCCUUUUGGACCCUUAGGGAUUCCCCGGUUAAUUCCUGCAGCACUUCUUGAAGUUUCCUCAGGCUGGCUCACGUCAGCCUUCUCCUAGGAUCAUGGGAUUAUCCUGAGGAUCCCACAAAGAAGACAAGUGAGAGUCUCCCACCGACCUACCUCCAUGGAGGUUUCCAUCUCCGCCACACUGCAGGGACUUGUCUCUAGGCAACGGUGGCAUUCAUUGUGACGCCAUCCAGAGCUUACAGCUCAGGCCUCCUGCCCUGAGACUAGCACAUGCAAAUUCGUGAGGCAAGGUUGGGUGCCCAGCUGUCAGAGAUUUCUGCCUGCCUAAACAGAGGUAAAUAGUACAGGCAGAGCCGGCCUGGUAUCAGAAAAAAGCCUGACUGUGAUAAUUCACUGAGGGACACUAAAAGUCUCAACCUUAGAGCUCCCUCCGGUUGUCUCCAUGGUCUGGCCUUACUUCAGCAGGACACAUUUUGAGACUAUGAGGUGGAUGCUGGAAACUGCUUUUCUGACUCCUUGCCCAAAAGAGGCUGUGUGUUAAGAAUCAGGUCCUAUUGAGAGAAGCUGGCUGGGCUUCUGGGUCCAGUGGGGACUUGGAGAACUUUUCUCUCUAGCUAAAUGAUUGUAAACACACCAAUCAGCACUCUGUAAAAAUGGACCAAUCACCACUCUGUAAAACAGACCCAUCGGCACUCUGUAAAAUGGACCAAUCAGCAGAACGUGGGUGGGGCCAAAUAAGGGAAUAAAAGCUGGCCACCUGAGCUAGCAGUGGCAACCCGGGGGGUUCCUCCCAUGGUGUGGAGGGUUCCUUCUUUCGCUCUUCACAAUAAAUCUUGCUGCUGCUCAGCCUUUGGGUCUGCACUACUUUUAUGAGCUGUAACACUGACUGAAAAUGUCUGUGGCUUUACUCCUGAAGUCAGCGAGACCAUGAACCCACCAGGAGGAACAAGCAACUCUGGAGGCGCCACCUUUAAGAGCUGUAACACUCACUGGGAAGGUCUGCGGAUUCACUACUGAUGUCAAGUGGGACCAUGAACCCACCAGAAGGAAGAAACUCUGGACACAUCUGAACAUCUGAAGGAACAAACUCUGGACACACCAUCUUUAAGAACUACAACACUCACCCCAAGGGUCCACAGCUUCAUUCUUGAAGUCAGCAAGACUAAGAACCCACCAGAAGGAACAAAUUCUGGUCACACCAUGGGGAUUGGAAUAUAGUCUGUUGAAAUUGUGGGACCCAUCCACUCCUCACUAGAUUGUAUCCUCAACCCUAUCUGACCUUAUUGCUGCUCACACUCUGUGUCCCAGGAUGAAAUCUCAAGAUGAUGGAGGAGUGCCCCCUUUGACCUGAAGCACCUGCUCAGCUAGGAACCAAAUUCAAGGGGGAGGUGACUUGGACGCUGGCAAGUCUCGACCCGCCCCCCAAUAUACUGGGGAUUCAUGAUCCACAGAAAAAUAGAGAACACAGCCCUGCGACUAAAGCAAAGCCACACAGACAAGCCAUCAAAAUGUUGAGAGACUCAAAUAAAGAAGCACUGAAA